GACGAACCGUCCAAACGUUGUUCGGAAUCACUGGGCAUAAAGGGCGCGUAGGCGGCUUUUCAAGUCAGGGGUGAAAUCCGGCAGCUCAACUGUCGAAGUGCCCUUGAUACUGAUGAGCUCGAGGGAGGUAGGGGUGUGUGGAACUUCCGGUGGAGCGGUGAAAUGCGUUGAUAUCGGAAGGAACGCCGGUGGCGAAAGCGACGCACUGGACCUCUUCUGACGCUGAGGCGCGAAAGCUAGGGGAGCAAACGGG
rnacentral:rRNA from 1 species